GGGUUUGGUGUUUGGUGUACAAUACAAGGUGAAUAUCUACGCUGUGGUGGAUAUUAAAGAUUCUCCUGAAGGAGUUGAAAGCAAGGAAUUACAUGAAAAAAUAGUUCAGACUGAAGGAGGUCUGAUUGUGUACAGUGAGGAGUUGGAUGAGGGGUUAUUAUCCCGCCAAGUCAGUGAAGUAGUCACCUAGCCUUUAAAUAAUUCAACCCUAACCUGGCAAACCAACCAGAUGAAUUAUCAUCACAGCUCGUAAUCAUGGUUUAGAAGCUUUAAAAUAGCUUUGAUAUAUUGUAAACAUACAUACAUUACAUACAUACUAUGUAAAAUACCCAACAGUUAUUCUUUUGAUAAACCGACUUCAAGGUUGCUUGAAUAUGGUUGAAACUAUUGAAGUUCAAAAAUAUUUUUUCUUCUUUAUAAUAUUUGAACUAUAGUAUUAGAGUUUGGAUACUAAUAUCUGAACUAUAGUUUCAGAGCUUGGAUACUAAUAUCUGAACUAUAGUUUCAGAGCUUGGAUACUAAUAUCUGAACUAUAGUAUCAGAGUUUGGAUUCUAAUAUAUGAAAUAUAGUUUCAGAGCUUGGAUUCUAAUAUAUGAACUAUAGUAUCAGAGUUUGGAUUCUAAUAUAUGAACUAUAGUUUCAGAGCUCUGAUACUAAUAUCUGAACUAUAGUUUCAGAGCUCUGAUACUAAUAUCUGAACUAUAGUUUCAGAGCUCGGAUACUAAUAUCUGAACUAUAGUUUCAGAGCUCUGAUACUAAUAUCUGAACUAUAGUUUCAGAGCUCGGAUACUAAUAUCUGAACUA